rnacentral:snRNA from 1 species
GGAUGUGAGGGUACUCUGACUGACAUCUGUCAUCCCAUGGAGCAUUGGAGUUGGUUUGCCUGGCUGACUGGCUAGAUGGCUGUCUCCUUCCUCCCUUACUGCUCCAUGAAGGCCUUUCUAGAAACCACUCAAUCAGUCAAGGUGGAAAACCUUCCCCAACACAGCAGACCAUUCUUUUGGUCAAGGAUAUACAAAUAACUGUGCUCCUUGCUAAAAACUUCCAUAUAGACUUGGGUAAGUCGCUUGCAGGAUUUUAAAUGAAAACUUUAUGCUGAAGUGAGACUUUUAACA